GGAUUAGAUACCCUAGUAUGCCUUAAGGUUUGAGAAUUAGUAUAAAAUGAAAUUUAAAAUUUUUGGCGGUUAAUUUAUUUAUUAAAGGAGCUUGUUUUUAGAAUUUACUCUUUUUAUUUUACUACACUAAUGUAUAUUUAUCUCCGUUAUUAGGUUUUUGACUAUUAACAGUUUAGUCUAUUAUUUCAGGUCAAGAUGUAACGAAAGUGUUCAUUUAAUUAAAAUUAGCUACAAUUAUGAAAAUAAUGAAUUUUUUUUUGUAAAAAAAAAUGAAAUUGAAUUUAGAUGUAAUUGGAAUUAGGAAAUUUGUGUGAAUAAUAAUAAGUAAUGUAUAUAUUGCCCGUCACUUCUUUUGGUUAAAAAGAAUAAGUCGUAACAAAGUA
rnacentral:rRNA from 1 species